rnacentral:rRNA from 1 species
CCUACGGGAGGCAGCAGUGAGGAAUAUUGGUCAAUGGGCGGGAGCCUGAACCAGCCAAGUCGCGUGAGGGAAGACGGUCCUAUGGAUUGUAAACCUCUUUAGGCGGGGAGCAAUGCCGGGCACGCGUGCCCGGAGGGAGAGUACCCGCAGAAUAAGCAUCGGCUAACUCCGUGCCAGCAGCCGCGGUAAUACGGAGGAUGCGAACGUUAUCCGGAUUUAUGGGGUUGAAAGGGUGCGUAGGCGGAUUUUUAAGUCAGCGGUAAAAUGUCCGGGCUCAACCCGGGCCGGCCGUUGAAACUGGGGAUCUUGAGUGUGCGAGAAGUAUGCGGAAUGCGUGGUGUAGCGGUGAAAUGCAUAGAUAUCACGCAGAACUCCGAUUGCGAAGGCAGCAUACCGGCGCCCGACUGACGCUGAGGCACGAAAGCGUGGGGAUCGAACAGGAUUAGAUACCCGAGUAGUC